AAUCAAUUGUAUACAGCUUUAAUAACAACCGUACUCAAGUUGGUUAUGAAUAAGCUGAUGUUACUGGAAAAUAUCGAGAGUAACUGUUACUGAAACGGAAAUAAGCUGUUACUUCAGUCUAUAAGACUUAUAUGCAUGGUUGGCUGAAGAGGGGCUUAAGAGCCCG